rnacentral:rRNA from 1 species
UACGUAGGGUGCGAGCGUUAAUCGGAAUUACUGGGCGUAAAGCGUGCGUAGACGGUAGCGUAAGUCAGAUGUGAAAGCCCCGGGCUCAACCUGGGAACUGCAUUUGAGACUGCUCUGCUCGGGUGCGGAAGAGGGAAGCGGAAUUUCCGGUGUAGCGGUGAAAUGCGUAGAUAUCGGGAGGAACACCUGUGGCGAAAGCGGCGCACUGGACCAUAACUGACGCUGAUGCGCGAAAGCUAGGGGAGCAAACAGG